rnacentral:lncRNA from 1 species
GAAUUCUAUUUAGCCUUUGAAAAGGAUGAGACCCUGNNNNNNNNNNNNNNNNNNNNNNNNNGAGGCCCAGGUCAGUGAGGUCCAGGCCAGGUGAGAUCCAGGUCAGGUGAUGUCCAGGCCAGGUGAGGUCAAGGCCAGUGAGGCCCAGGCCAGGUCAGUGAAGUCCAGGCCAGGUGAGGCCCAGGGCAGGUAAGGUCCAGGCCAGGUGAUGUCCAGGGCAGGUGAGGUCCAGGCCAGGUGAUGUCCAGGUCAGGUGAGGUCCAGGGCAGGUGAGGUCCAGGCCAGGGGAGGCCCAGGUCAGGGGAGGCUCAGGUGCGUGUGCCAGGCUUCUGUGGUUUUCUCCCGGUGCCGACCUCGCCUGGCGUCCCUGCCCCUCCUCCCAGCCCCCUCUGCGCCUGCCCAUUGGCAGUCCCUGCAGGGUGGUGCUGGCUGUGGAGGGGCUGGGCUCGGCCUCCCCGUGCAUGGGCGUCCCUCUGGGCCCUGGUCUGGAGUGUGGCUGAGCUGCUUCUCUCUGGGAUGCACCGACUGUGCCCUCCUCGCUGGUCCGCGGCUCCGUGCUUGCUCCACGUCAGGCCCCAGGAGCUGCCAGCAGGGCGCCUGCCACCUGUCCGGGGAUGCCAGGGAGAGCUGAGCCGCUCGUUCCAACGUGCUGUAACGUGUUUGUCCUGCUCUGUUCUGUUGGCGGACUUGCCGGCCCUGCGAGGCUCCGUUCACACCCUCUUCCUCCCCAGGAGAAGUCACCGCUGCUGUGUUUACGUGACCGUCUUUUCUCGGUUUUCUUUGUGGUUUUCUAACUGGGAAAUGUGUCCCUUAAGAAGGUAG